rnacentral:rRNA from 1 species
UGGGGAAUUUUGGACAAUGGGCGAAAGCCUGAUCCAGCAAUGCCGCGUGUGUGAAGAAGGCCUUCGGGUUGUAAAGCACUUUUGUCCGGAAAGAAAUCCUUGGCUCUAAUACAGUCGGGGGAUGACGGUACCGGAAGAAUAAGCACCGGCUAACUACGUGCCAGCAGCCGCGGUAAUACGUAGGGUGCAAGCGUUAAUCGGAAUUACUGGGCGUAAAGCGUGCGCAGGCGGUUUGCUAAGACCGAUGUGAAAUCCCCGGGCUCAACCUGGGAACUGCAUUGGUGACUGGCAAGGCUAGAGUAUGGCAGAGGGGGGUAGAAUUCCACGUGUAGCAGUGAAAUGCGUAGAGAUGUGAGGAAGAUACC